ensembl:snRNA U6 U6 spliceosomal RNA
GUGCUCGCUUUGAAAUCACAUAUACUAAAAUUGGAACAAAACAGAGAUUAGCAGGGCCCCUGUGCAAGGAUGACAUGCAAAUUCAUGAAGUAUUCCAUAUUUUU